UACGUAGGGAGCAAGCGUUGUCCGGAAUCAUUGGGCGUAAAGCGCGCGUAGGUGGCCACAUAAGUCCGUUGUGAAAGUCAAAGGCUCAACCUUUGAAAGCCGAUGGAUACUGUGUGGCUAGAGUACGGAAGAGGCGAGUGGAAUUCCUGGUGUAGCAGUGAAAUGCGUAGAUAUCGAGAGGAACACCAGUGGCGAAGGCGAGUCCCUGGACAACUUCUGACGCUGAGGCACGAAAGCUAGGGGAGCAAACAGG
rnacentral:rRNA from 1 species